rnacentral:rRNA from 1 species
AGUGAACGCUGGCGGUAGGCCUAACACAUGCAAGUCGAACGGCAGCACAGUAAGAGCUUGCUCUUACGGGUGGCGAGUGGCGGACGGGUGAGGAAUACAUCGGAAUCUACUUUUUCGUGGGGGAUAACGUAGGGAAACUUACGCUAAUACCUCAUACGACCUGCGGGUGAAAGCAGGGGAUCUUCGGACCUUGCGCGAUUGAAUGAGCCGAUGUCGGAUUAGCUAGUUGGCGGGGUAAAGGCCCACCAAGGCGACGAUCCGUAGCUGGUCUGAGAGGAUGAUCAGCCACACUGGAACUGAGACACGGUCCAGACUCCUACGGGAGGCAGCAGUGGGGAAUAUUGGACAAUGGGCGCAAGCCUGAUCCAGCCAUACCGCGUGGGUGAAGAAGGCCUUCGGGUUGUAAAGCCCUUUUGUUGGGAAAGAAAAGCAGCAGGUUAAUACCCCGCUGUUCUGACGGUACCCAAAGAAUAAGCACCGGCUAACUUCGUG